GAUGAACGCUGGCGGCGUGCCUAAUACAUGCAAGUCGAACGCUGGAAAUCUAGCUUGCUCGAUUGAAGGAGUGGCGAACGGGUGAGUAAUACAUAAGCAACCUACCCACGAAGACUGGGAUAAUGUCUGGAAACGGGGACUAAUACCGGAUAGGUAAUCGGAAGGCAUCUUCUGAUUAUUAAAGGUUAAAAACACUGGUGGAUGGGCUUAUGGCGCAUUAGUUAGUUGGUGAGGUAACGGCCCACCAAGACGAUGAUGCGUAGCCGGCCUGAGAGGGUGAACGGCCACAUUGGGACUGAGACACGGCCCAGACUCCUACGGGAGGCAGCAGUAGGGAAUUUUCGGCAAUGGGGGAAACCCUGACCGAGCAACGCCGCGUGAGUGAUGACGGCCUUCGGGUUGUAAAGCUCUGUUGUAAGGGAAGAACGGUAGAUAGAGAAUAUCUAAAUGACGGUACCUUACCAGAAAGCCACGGCUAACUACGUG
rnacentral:rRNA from 1 species